GUAGGUGGCAAGCGUUGUCCGGAAUUAUUGGGCGUAAAGCGCGCGCAGGCGGUCCUUUAAGUCUGAUGUGAAAGCCCACGGCUCAACCGUGGAGGGUCAUUGGAAACUGGGGACUUGAGUACAGAAGAGGAAAGCGGAAUUCCAAGUGUAGCGGUGAAAUGCGUAGAGAUUUGGAGGAACACCAGUGGCGAAGGCGGCUUUCUGGUCUGUAACUGACGCUGAGGCGCGAAAGCGUGGGGAGCAAACAGGGGUUAGAUACCCUGGUAGUCCACGCCGUAAACGAUGAGUGCUAAGUGUUAGGGGGUUUCCCGCCCCCUUAGUGCUGCAGCUAACGCAUUAAGCACUCCGCCUGGGGGAUACGGCCGCAAGGCUG
rnacentral:rRNA from 1 species